UACGUAGGCAGCAAGCGUUGUUCGGAGUUACUGGGCGUAAAGGGUGCGUAGGCGGCUUUUUAAGUUUGGUGUGAAAUCUCCCGGCUCAACUGGGAGGGUGCGCCGAAUACUGAGAGGCUAGAGUGUGGGAGAGGAAAGUGGAAUUCCUGGUGUAGCGGUGAAAUGCGUAGAUAUCAGGAGGAACACCGGUGGUGUAAACGGCUUUCUGGACCAUAACUGACGCUGAGGCACGAAAGCGUGGGUAGCAAAAGGG
rnacentral:rRNA from 1 species